AGGAACGUUGAAGACGACGACGUUGAUAGGCCGGGUGUGUAAGCGCAGCGAUGCGUUGAGCUAACCGGUACUAAUGAACCGUGAGGCUUAACCUUA
rnacentral:rRNA from 1 species